CCUACGGGAGGCAGCAGUGAGGAAUAUUGGUCAAUGGGCGCGAGCCUGAACCAGCCAAGUCGCGUGAGGGAAGACGGUCCUAUGGAUUGUAAACCUCUUUUGUCGGGGAGCAAAAGGCGCCACGCGUGGCGGUCCGAGAGUUACCCGAGAAAAAGAAACGGCUAACUCCGUGCCAGCAGCCGCGGUAAUACGGAGGAUGCGAGCGUUAACCGGAUUUAUUGGGGUUAAAGGGGGCGCAGGCGGAAUGUAAAGUCAGCGGUAAAAUUGAGAGGCUCAACCUCUUCGAGCCGUUGAAACUGGUUUUCUUGAGUGAGCGAGAAGUAUGCGGAAUGCGUGGUGUAGCGGUGAAAUGCAUAGAUAUCACGCAGAACUCCGAUUGCGAAGGCAGCAUACCGGCGCUCAACUGACGCUCAUGCACGAAAGUGUGGGUAUCGAACAGGAUUAGAUACCCCAGUAGUC
rnacentral:rRNA from 1 species